UACGUAGGGGGCUAGCGUUAUCCGGAAUUACUGGGCGUAAAGGGUGCGUAGGUGGUUUCUUAAGUCAGAGGUGAAAGGCUACGGCUCAACCGUAGUAAGCCUUUGAAACUGGGAAACUUGAGUGCAGGAAAGGAGAGUGGAAUUCCUAGUGUAGCGGUGAAAUGCGUAGAUAUUAGGAGGAACACCAGUUGCGAAGGCGGCUCUCUGGACUGUAACUGACACUGAGGCACGAAAGCGUGGGGAGCAAACAGG
rnacentral:rRNA from 1 species